GGGACAAGGGUGGGAGAAGAGCGGCGGUCAAGCACAGAAGCUGAUGCGAAGCGGCGAGAGUCAACCUCAUCCUCA
rnacentral:misc_RNA from 1 species